ensembl:lncRNA
CCAGGCUUCCAGCCUGCUUGGAGUUACCUUCUGGACCCAAGCGCUUUUUAGAAAAAGCCGUUGUUAAAGGACUAUUUCAGCAGCUUGGGGACAUCUAGAGGGUUGGUUGACCAAUUAACCUCCUGCUAACAACAACAUCUCCUUUCCAUUUCCCUCCAAGGGCAGCACUGUUGAAGGGCAGAGACAGGAGGAUCAUUGGGGCUGGCUGGCUGCCACGACGGUGCUGGAAACGGAGCCCAGGUCUUCCAGAAGAGCAGCCAGCGUUCUUAAACACCGAACUAUCUUGUCUUCAUGAAGUUCUUUCCUUUUUCUUUUGAGACAAGGUCUCACCAUGAAGCUCCGGAUGGCCUGGAACUCAUUGUGCACAGGCUGGCCUUGACCUCAUAGAGAUCUGCUUCUCAAGUGCUGGGUUUAAAAGUGGGGGCCACCAUUCUCGGCCUCUGGUGUUUUUUGUUUUGACAGGAUUCUCUGUGUAGCCCUGGAUGUCCUUGAACUCAGAGAUCUGCCUGCCUAUGCUGGGAGUAAAGAUUCGACCCUAACCACUUGGUGUGAGGAAUGACUUUCCCUGUGUGGCCACCAGGGGGCAGCCUACACCCAGCACAUGACGGGCGCUUUGACUACGGCCUUCGAUACACGAGAGCUUGCCAAGGAUUUGAAGGCUAACAUCUGCAUUUUUAUCUUGUUACUCACUGUGAGAGUCACUGGUUCGCUAGAAGGCGGCUGGAGUUUUAUAGUGUUAACUCUUCCAUUUAGGUCUAUGAUCCACUUUUAAUUCAUUUUUAGGUGGUUAAGACAUGAUCUGUGUAUACAGCAUGUGCUGGCUUCAAACUCAAGAUCCUUCCAUUCCAGUGCUGGGCUCACAGGCCCAGGCUUGGUGUUUGAUUUCAUUUUUGUUAUGGUUAUGGAGCAAUCCAAACGUGUCCUUUGCAGGAGGAUACUCAGUUGUAUCAGCACUAAUGAAAACAAAGGAGUUUGUGUUGUGUUGUCUUGAAAACUGGGCCUCAUGUAGUUCAGGCUGGUCUUGAACUUCCAAUCCUGCAUUCACCCCUAUAAUGCUGGGACUAUAGACAGACAGUGUCAUGCCCAGGUCUCUUAAUAGAAUUAUCUUGGCCUCUUUGUCUAAAAUUCACCGACUAUAAAUUAGGAUUUAAUCCUGAAUUCUCAACUCUGCUAUUCUAAUUAGGCUUUUGAGUAGGUAACAGCAAGAGAUUAAGAAUUCAUCAACACAAGAAAAACAAAGAAAAUACAAAGAAUACAAAAUGCAAAACAAAACAAAACAAAAAAACAGAAAAAAGAGUUCAUCAACAGAAUUUCCUUGAGGCCUUUUAUUUGAAGAGCCAUCUGGAGUUGGGGAGUACUGCUCCCCAGGUAGGUGUCCUGUUGGUUUGGAGAGAGGGGUUUAGGCUACGGUAGGAUAAGAAGAUGGAAUGAAGUCUGGCAAUGGUGGUGCAUGCCUUUAAUCCCAGCACUUGGGAGGCAGAGGUAGGCAGAUCUCAGUGAGUUCGAGGCCAGCCUGGUCUACAAAGUAGACUGUUAAACAGAGAAAUCCUGU